UUUCACUGCAAAAUUGCUUUUGCCCUGUCUUUGGCGUAUUCAUAUAAGUUUGGCCUUUGCUGGAGGCGGAGGUGUGUGCGCAAGCGUUAUCGUGUUUUGUGAAGUGAUUCUUUGCUCCGUGAAUCCCAUCGAUUCGAUCAGCUGAUGGAAAGAGUUUGGCCGUGAAGCGGAAAAGGUGAAGCCGGAGUUAAACCGCAGGAUGGCAGGACAAAUCACAUCGAGAGAGAGUGCUGAAUAUUCGACGUCUUGAGAGAAACCUCUGCCGAACAUAGGAACCCCAUCCCACCGUCCGCUUCGCAGAACGCUGGCAGUUUUUUUUACCUGUUCGUCGCAUGAUGAGCGUAUGUGCAAUAAAAAAAGGGAUCGUAUGUAUUUCCUGGUAAUUAUUUCGUUCACGGUCGUGGUGUGUUUGGGACGAGGGUGUCCCGAAUGCAGCAAUAGGAAAGAAAGGGAAAGCGAGAAAGAAAAAAAGCGAAGGAAAGAACGGGACAAAAUAAAGCUAAUUUUUUGGCUUCCAGGCUUAUUAUAAAUAAGCUUGGGAGCUUCCAUGCUUGCAAGCUUGCAUGCUCGUAUGCAAGCGUACAUACGCCCCGCCCCCUAUACCCGAUUCCCCCACCCCCGCGAACGAUCCACGAACGAGGCUUACUAAGUUGCUAGUAAGCCUUUAAUAAGCCGGCUAAUAAGCCGCAAUGUCGUACGACUUUUGCCAAGUGGG